AUGGCCCAUGCUGGAAAAAACGUCGUCUCAUCACAACAUUCAAAACCUUUCGCUUAUGUUGAGUAUCAAGUAGACAAAUAUAGAAUGCCGGUGCCUCAAUCUUUCAUAAAGGACUUUGACGCUCAAAACUGGUCGCUUGGGCAAGAAUAUUGGGUCUUCUGGAGUCCAAAAUCGGCUGACACGCCAACAUCGAUCCUCAGAUCUCAAGGGGUGCUUUUGAACUUAGAUAAUGAAAAGGAGACACAUCAAAGAGGACAAUCGUCUGCCUUGCCUGGCUACUACAAGGCCCUCAUAUUGCAAGUAGCUGAUUCAGCUGCUGCAUUAGAAAAGGCCUUGAAAAGCAAACGAAUCUGUAUUCCUACUGACAAAGUCAUUGCUGCAAAGAAUUCCCAGAAAAAUAAAAAGAAUCCACGAAAAAGGGAUCCUUCAUAUGUUUCGAAGUACAAAAUGAAGAAAAUUCGCAAAGCCAGUGAUGGAAUAACCACAGAAAAAUGGCAGAAAUAUAAGGCUCCCGUUGAAGAAUCGGAGGAUGCUGAUGAGCCUGACUCUGAUGCAACUGACUCAGAUGACACUCUCCUGACCAAAAAAGACGUAAGAAUUGACCAGCAAUUGUCAGAACGUAGAAUUUCACAGCUGGAAAAUCGAGUGGAGGAAUUAACCAGACUGAAUUUGUUCUGGCAGAGGAAGUAUGAAAUAGAAGGGACGCCACAGGAAAAGCCGAAACGUCAGACCUCGGAAGCUGAAGAGUCUGUUCGAAGAAACUUGUUUGAUCGGGAAAAGCGUCAAAUCAACGAGAAGUCUGUCAGCUUAAGUGACCAACACAAGCGUGAAGUCAAAGAGAAAUCCGUCAGCUCAAGUGACAAACACAAGCGUGAAGUCAAAGAGAAGUCUGUCAGCUCAAGUGACAAACACAAGCGUGAAGUCAAUGAGAAGUCAGUCAGCUCAAGUGACAAACACAAGCGUGAAGUCAAAGAGAAGUCCGUCAGCUCAAGUGACAAACACAAGCGUGAAGUUAAAGAGAAGUCUGUCAGCUUAAGUGACAAACAUAAUCGCCAGGAGAGGGAUGUAGGCAAAGAUCUGCUAGUUCAAGAUUAUGCAGGCUCUGCGAAUUGUGAGGAUAAGGAGAAUGAUCUCAAUGAAAAACAGAAUCCUGAAGAAAAGAUCAGUGCCAACGAACACGAAGAGAAUGAUGGGAACGGAGAACCUGAUUUUGAAGGAAAUCGUAGCCCCAUCCAGCUGUCUGACAAAGAUAAGGAUACUGAGGAUGAAAAAUGUCAAUCCGAAGAAGAAAUGAGCUUCACAUUGACUCCCCGCAAAGCAGAUGUAGCAUUGGGAGGCGUGAGAAAGGGCAAAUCUGGAGACUCACUCCAUGUAAGGCAAUUGCUGAUGGUCAUUUUUGGUGCCUCCACUCUAAGUCGUUGCAGUUACAAGGGAGUAGCUGCCGUCGGAGGCAAGAAUAAAUACAAAAUGUCACAGCAGAAAGCUGCAAGACCAGCACUUCCUAAAAAGGGAAUGGAAGUAUUAAGAGAUGAAUUUUUGAAAAGGCUUCGGAAAGAAAAUCCUGCUAUUGAUUCAGACGAAGAGGAGGAACGGAUGGAAUGUUUUAAUGAUGUAAUUCCUGACAAGAUCAAAUACCUCCGGAAACGAGCCGGAUUGACGGAUUAA
rnacentral:lncRNA from 1 species